AAGUCCUAUAAACACA
rnacentral:tRNA from 1 species